rnacentral:lncRNA from 14 species
AAAACAUGUAUGCGUGGCUGUACAGACUUGAAUUCAGCUCCCACAGCUGCUGAGAUUAGAUCAGCCUGAAGGACACGAUUAGGAAAGUGGAGUCUGUGCAUGUGCAUACUCAGGAAACUCCUCCAUCAAUCCUUGCGGACUUGCCAAAUGAGCCACUUUCACUUGGUGCAUAUAAAUGGGGUCUCCCUGUCUCUUCUGUCACAUGUACCGCUUUACCAGAGUCCAAAGGAAGAGACUGUGGGAAAGUCUAACCUCAGCCAUUUUUGGUCCUGACGCAAGGCCCACACCACCCACUGACCAGUGGCCAGAGCCUUUUCUCUGGCUCAGAGGCAGAAGGCUGCCCUGUCACCAGCUCUGCUCCUACAGGUUUCCACCACAUCCCUGGAAUGAGGUGAUACUUUUCUGGCUACUCCUCCGUGACAACUUUACCAAAAGUGAAACAGAAUGGAGAGGUACCCAUCCUUGAGUGCUGCAAAUUGAAUUCUUGUUGUACAGAGCUGUAAUCAACACUGAUCAGCCACUGAUGUGACUUUCCUCUUCAUAAUAUGCCAAAGCACAUGAUUGAUAUUCUAGGACAAUUACCAGCUCCUAGAAAGCUCCUAUUUUUCCACUGUUUACAAUAAUUAAUGAAAGCCACAUAUGUAGACCAUCCUGUUGUUAUUGAACUCCAAAUGACUGGGCAGUACAAUUUCAGAAAUAUAUGGCAUACAUUGUGGAGACCAACA